rnacentral:rRNA from 1 species
AAUCUGGGGUCCACGGCCCCCGAGUUGUAAUUUGGAGAGGCAUCUUCGGGGGGGAGCGCCGGCCAAUGUUCCUUGGAACAGGACGUCGCAGAGGGUGAGAAUCCCGUGCCGGGCCGGCUGCCUCCUCCCGGGUGAAGGGCCUUCGACGAGUCGAGUUGUUUGGGAAUGCAGCUCCAAGUGGGUGGUAAAUUUCAUCUAAAGCUAAAUACCGGCGGGAGACCGAUAGCGCACAAGUAGAGUGAUCGAAAGAUGAAAAGCACUUUGAAAAUAGAGUCAAAAAGUACGUGAAAUUGUUGAAAGGGAAGCGCUUGAGACCAGACUCGGGCCCGGGCAAACAUCGCGUCCCUCGGGGCCGUGCAAUUGCCCGGGGCCGGGCCAGCAUCAGUUGGCGUGGCGGGACAAAGGCGCGGGGAAUGUGGCUCCCCUCGGGGAGUGUUAUCAGGCCCGCGCUCAAUGCCGCCGACGCCGACUGAGGACCGCGCCUAGGCUUGGAUGCUGGCUUAAUGGCCUUCAGCGACCCGUCUUGAAACACGGACCAAGGAGUCUAACAUCUAUGCGAGUGUUUGGGCGUCAAACCCUUGCGCGGAAUGAAAGUGAGCGGAGGUGGGAACCCCCCGGCGGGGUGCACCAUCGACCGAUCCUGAUGUCAUCGGAUGGAUUUGAGUAG